UCUAUGCGGGAGAUAACCACGGUAACCUGUGGCUAAGAGUGUAGAAUAAGGUGCAAUCCUAUUAGUUUGUUGGUAGUGUAAAGGACUACCAAGGCAGUGAUGGGUAACGGGAAAUCAGGGUUUGAUUCCGGAGAGGGAGCCUGAGAGAUGGCUCCCACGUCCAAGGAUGGCAGCAGGCGCGAAAAUUGUCCACUCUUUUGAGAGGAGACAGUUAUGAAACGUGAGUAGAAGGGUCGAGUGUAAAAACCUUGACGUGAAGCAAUUGGAGGGCAAGUUUUGGUGCCAGCAGCCGCGGUAAUUCCAACUCCAAGAGUGUCUAUGGUGGAUGCUGCAGUUAAAGGGUCCGUAGUCGUAGAUGCAAUUAAAAGGUGGUGUUAAAAGCCAUUGAGUUUGUUGAGAGUAGCGGAACGGAUAGGGAGCAUGGUAUAGGUGGGCAAAGAAUGAAAUCUCAAGACCCCACCUGGACCAACGGAGGCGAAAGCGAUGCUCUUAGACGUAUCUGGGGAUCAAGGACGAAGGCUAGAGUAUCGAAAGUGAUUAGACACCGCUGUAGUUCUAGCAGUAAACUAUGCCGACAAUGCUGGGUGUUGCGAGAGCGAUGCUUGGUGUGGGAGAAAUCUUAGUUUUCGGGCUCUGGGGAUAGUACGCUCGCAAGGGUGAAACUUAAAGCGAAAUUGACGGAAGGACACUACCAGGAGUGGAUUGUGCUGCUUAAUUUAACUCAACGCGGGAAAACUUACCAGGGUCAAGUCUAUCGUAGAUUGGAGACAUGAGGUAGACAAGAGUGGUGCAUGGCCGUUGGAAAUUGAUGGGGCGACUUUUAGCUUAAGUGCUGGAACCAGUGAGAUCUUCUAGACAGGUGUUAUUUAGGCACAGGAGGGAGAAGGCAAUAACAGGUCCGUGAUGCCCUUAGAUAUCCUGGGCAGCAAGCGCAAUACAAUAUCUCUUGAGAAGACAAAGCAAUUUGAGAUGAGUAGGAUUAGCUUUUGUAAA
rnacentral:rRNA from 1 species